rnacentral:lncRNA from 1 species
UGAAUCUCCUCUUUUGCCUUGGACCUGCUUGCAUGGGGAAUUGUGACAGAUUACUGGGCCCAUCACCUAGUAGAUGUUACUGUCUAUUUUUUACCUGGAUCCUGCCUACAGAAAGGAUUGUGACAAAUCAGUGGGCCAAGCAUCCCGGUGACGUGGCUCUUCUGUCUUAGCAAUUCCUAUAGUUGGAAUAGUGACAUAAACCUGGGUCAAGCAUCUGGGUAAUGUAACUCUUCUUUCUGGACACUUUUCUCAGAGAACAUUGUGAUAUAUCUUUGUGCCCAUCACCUAGGUCAUGUGACUCUCCUUUUUUUCCUGGGCUCUGUCCACAGGGUAAUUUGUGACAUACUGCUGGACCCAGCACCCAGGUCAUUUGACUCUCCUGCCUUGGCCCUUCCCACAGAGGGCAUUGUGACAUUGAGUGGGCUCAGCAGCUAGGUGAUACGACUUUCCUGCCAGGACUCUUCCAACAGAAGGGACAUUGACCUACUCAGGCUCAGUAUUCAGCCAAUAGAUGAAAAAAGAUUCAAGGAAGACACAUUUGCUUUUUAUUCACUCAUCACUUCCCAUCACUAUGCUGACCAGAGUCAAUGUGAGCAGAGUUGAGAAUAGCAGUUUUCUGGCAGGAGAGCCACUUCUCAGCAAAAAAUGACACACUCAAAGUAUAAAUCUUUCAUGGAAGGCUCACAUAUUUUCAGCAAAUUAAGCAUAUGCAUGAAUAAAAUUCUUGUGGUGAAAUAAAGAUUCAUUUUAUUGAUUCCUAUUGAGCUCAGGUAAUAUUGGAUGAAAAGCAAA